GCCACACCAGCAUCUCCACAGACACAGAAGGAGGGCGUCACCUUGCCGCGUGGCCACACCAGCAUCUCCACAGACACAGAAGGAGGGCGCCACCCUGCAGCGUGGCCACACCAGCAUCUCCACAGAUAUAGAAGGAGGGCGCCACCCUGCAGCGUGGCCACAGGAGCAUCUCCGCAGACACAGACGGAGGGCGUCACCCUGCAACGUGGCCACAGCAGCAUCUCCAGAGACACGGAGGGUGUCACCCUGCAGCGUGGCCACAGGAGCAUCUCCGCAGACACAGAAGGAGGGUGUCACCCUGCAGUGUGGCCACGGCAGCAUCUCCACAGACACAGAAGGAGGGAGGGCGUCACCCUGCAGUGUGGCCACGGCAGCAUCUCCACAGACACAGAAGGAGGGAGGGUGUCACCCUGCAGUGUGGCCACGGCAGCAUCUCCACAGACACAGAAGGAGGGUGUCACCCUGCAGCGUGGCCACAGCAGCAUCUCCACAGACACAGAAGGAGGGCGUCACCCUGCAGCGUGGCCACGGCAGCAUCUCCACCGACACAGAAGGAGGGAGGGCGUCACCCUGCAGCGUGGCCACGGCAGCAUCUCCACCGACACAGAAGGAGGGCGUCACCCUGCAGCGUGGCCACGGCAGCAUCUCCACCGACACAGAAGGAGGGCGUCACCCUGCAGCGUGGCCACACCAGCAUCUCCACACACAAAGAAGGAGGGCGUCACCCCGCAGCGUGGCCACACCAGCAUCUCCAGACACAGGAGGGUGUCACCCCGCAGCGUGGCCACACCAGCAUCUCCAGACACAGGAGGGUGUCACCCCGCAGCGUGGCCACACCAGCAUCUCCACAGACACAGAAGGAGGGCGUCACCCUGCAGCGUGGCCACACCAGCAUCUCCACAGACAGAGAAGGAGGGUGUCACCCUGCAGCGUUACCACGGCUCUGCAGCUAGGCCACAGGAGAUUUUCAGGUCUGUUAUAAUCUCAUGGGCACACCACCAUGUAUAUGGUCCACUGUUGGCCAGAACGUUCUUACGCACUGGUGAUCAUAUUUGUUAG
rnacentral:lncRNA from 13 species